GAUGAACGCUGGCGGCGUGCCUAAUACAUGCAAGUCGAGCGAACGGACGAGAAGCUUGCUUCUCUGAUGUUAGCGGCGGACGGGUGAGUAACACGUGGAUAACCUACCUAUAAGACUGGGAUAACUUCGGGAAACCGUAGCUAAUAGCGGAUAAUAUUUUGAAGCGCAUGGUUCAAAAGUGAAAGACGGUCGUGCUGUCACGUAUAGAUGGAUCCGCGCUGCAUUAGCUAGUUGGUAAGGUAACGGCUUACCAAGGCAACGAUGCAUAGCCGACCUGAGAGGGUGAUCGGCCACACUGGAACUGAGACACGGUCCAGACUCCUACGGGAGGCAGCAGUAGGGAAUCUUCCGCAAUGGGCGAAAGCCUGACGGAGCAACGCCGCGUGAGUGAUAAAGGUCUUCGGAUCGUAAAACUCUGUUAUUAGGGAAGAACAUAUGUGUAAGUAACUGUGCACAUCUUGACGGUACCUAAUCAGAAAGCCACGGCUAACUACGUG
rnacentral:rRNA from 1 species